GAUGAACGCUGGCGGCGUGCCUAAUACAUGCAAGUCGAGCGAACGGACGAGAAGCUUGCUUCUCUGAUGUUAGCGGCGGACGGGUGAGUAACACGUGGAUAACCUACCUAUAAGACUGGGAUAACUUCGGGAAACCGGAGCUAAUACCGGAUGAUAUUUUGAACCGCAUGGUUCAAAGGUGAAAGACGGUCUUGCUGUCACUUAUAGAUGGAUCCGCGCUGCAUUAGCUAGUUGGUAAGGUAACGGCUUACCAAGGCAACGAUGCAUAGCCGACCUGAGAGGGUGAUCGGCCACACUGGAACUGAGACACGGUCCAGACUCCUACGGGAGGCAGCAGUAGGGAAUCUUACGCAAUGGGCGAAAGCCUGACGGAGCAACGCCGCGUGAGUGAUGAAGGUCUUCGGAUCGUAAAACUCUGUUAUUAGGGAAGAACAUAUGUGUAAGUAACUGUGCACAUCUUGACGGUACCUAAUCAGAAAGCCACGGCUAACUACGUG
rnacentral:rRNA from 1 species